UACGUAGGGCGCAAGCGUUAAUCGGAAUUACUGGGCGUAAAGCGAGCGUAGUCGGUUAUUUAAGUCGGAUGUGAAAUCCCCGGGCUCAACCUGGGAAUUGCAUUCGAUACUGGAUAGCUAGAGUUCGGCAGAGGGAAGCGGAAUUUCGGGUGUAGCGGUGAAAUGCGUAGAUAUCCGAAGGAACAUCAGUGGCGAAAGCGGCUUCCUGGACCAGAACUGACGAUCAGGCUCGAAAGCGUGGGGAGCAAACAGG
rnacentral:rRNA from 1 species